rfam:Triticum aestivum genome assembly, contig: Triticum_aestivum_CS42_TGACv1_scaffold_119245_2AS
CAACUACUCCCUCUGUCCCAAAUUUCUUGUCUUAGAUUUGUCUAGAUACGGAUGUAUCUAAUACUAAAAUGUGACUUGAUACAUCCGUAUCUAGACAAAUCUAAGACAAGAAUUUUGGGACGGAGGGAGUACUUC